rnacentral:rRNA from 1 species
UACGUAGGGUGCGAGCGUUAAUCGGAAUUACUGGGCGUAAAGCGUGCGCAGGCGGUUCGUUAUGUCCGAUGUGAAAGCCCCGAGCUCAACUUGGGAAUGGCAUUGGAAACUGGCGGGCUGGAGUGUGGCAGAGGGGGGGUGGAAUUCCACGUGUAGCAGUGAAAUGCGUAGAGAUGUGGAGGAACACCGAUGGCGAAGGCAGCCCCCUGGGCCAACACUGACGCUCAGGCACGAAAGCGUGGGGAGCGAACAGG